rnacentral:rRNA from 1 species
UGCAGUCGAGCGGUAGAGAGGUGCUUGCACCUCUUGAGAGCGGCGGACGGGUGAGUAAUACCUAGGAAUCUGCCUGGUAGUGGGGGAUAACGUUCGGAAACGGACGCUAAUACCGCAUACGUCCUACGGGAGAAAGCAGGGGACCUUCGGGCCUUGCGCUAUCAGAUGAGCCUAGGUCGGAUUAGCUAGUUGGUGAGGUAAUGGCUCACCAAGGCUACGAUCCGUAACUGGUCUGAGAGGAUGAUCAGUCACACUGGAACUGAGACACGGUCCAGACUCCUACGGGAGGCAGCAGUGGGGAAUAUUGGACAAUGGGCGAAAGCCUGAUCCAGCCAUGCCGCGUGUGUGAAGAAGGUCUUCGGAUUGUAAAGCACUUUAAGUUGGGAGGAAGGGCAUUAACCUAAUACGUUAGUGCUUUGACGUUACCGACAGAAUAAGCACCGGCUAACUCUGUGCCAGCAGCCGCGGUAAUACAGAGGGUGCAAGCGUUAAUCGGAAUUACUGGGCGUAAAGCGCGCGUAGGUGGUUUGUUAAGUUGAAUGUGAAAUCCCCGGGCUCAACCUGGGAACUGCAUCCAAAACUGGCAAGCUAGAGUAUGGUAGAGGGUAGUGGAAUUUCCUGUGUAGCGGUGAAAUGCGUAGAUAUAGGAAGGAACACCAGUGGCGAAGGCGACUACCUGGACUGAUACUGACACUGAGGUGCGAAAGCGUGGGGAGCAAACAGGAUUAGAUACCCUGGUAGUCCACGCCGUAAACGAUGUCAACUAGCCGUUGGGAACCUUGAGUUCUUAGUGGCGCAGCUAACGCAUUAAGUUGACCGCCCGGGGGAGUACGGCCGCAAGGUUAAAACUCAAAUGAAUUGACGGGGGCCCGCACAAGCGGUGGAGCAGGUGGUUUAAUUCGAAGCAACGCGAAGAACCUUACCAGGCCUUGACAUCCAAUGAACUUUCCAGAAAAUGGAUUGGUGCCUUCGGGAACAUUGAAAACAGGUGCUGCCAGGGCUUUCCUCAGCUCC